UACCUUGUGAGGCGUUUUGGGCACCUUCCUCGGCGGCUUGGGCGGCGUCGCGGAAAGCAAGACCGCGCACCAUCACUGCAGAUCAACCAUACCACCGAUGGAAAAACAUCAAGAAAUAAAUAAAACCCAAAUAACUACAUCUCUCUUCCAAUAUACAAUGCAAUAAGUCAAGAAAAGCAGGCCUACAUCCUAUAAACACUCGUGUUCAAUCUUCUAAAGGCCAGCAAAUAGCUCUUGAUAAGGAAUGAGGAAAACAAUCGGUCAUGGACUGAACUAAAAGAGCAAGACAAACACAUAAGUCCAAUGCUGCUCCUUCAUUAAAAUACAACGACUUCAAGCACACUAACGCUUCAAAUAUUAGUUACUCCACACUACAGAAGUCGAAGCACAAUCAACAAAAAUGAACCAAAGCUCAAAAUCGUAGAAAUUAAAAUUUCAGUAAUCCAGCACCACGCCCAAUGAGUCAUACACACAGCGUUAAGAAUCCAAACAAACAGCAAAAAAAAGGAAGAAAAAAAAUGAAGCUCAAUCCAAUUCUGAAAAUAACCAAAUUUACAUAACAAGAAUCUCAAAGUUGCAUAUCUUCUUCUCCUCCCCACAUUUCGCCUACUUUCAACCUAUUCGCAAAAGAAAAAAUCGAACAGAAGUGGAAAAGCUAGACACCAUUAAUCAUCCAAAGAAGAGCACCAACUUGUUUUCAAGCCCAUUGAAAGUAAUUCACACUCAAAUCAUUUUAGAAUCAAAUCUGAACAAUAUUCCUACUUCCUUACAGAUAGCCCCUGCAUUCAGCUAUUACCUGAUUUUAGGCUAGGGUUUCGAAUUAGGGGCUGAGCUUAUCGGAGCAGGCAGGUAGGGGGCGGAGCAGGCGGCGGCGGAGCAGGUGAAGCAGGCGAAUUAGGCGGCGGCGGAUCAGGCGAAGCAGACGGCGCAGCAGGCAGCGGAGCAGGCGGAGCAGGCGAAGCAGGCGGCGUGCGGAGCAGGCGAAGCAGGCGGCGCGCGGAGUAGGCGGAGCAAGCGAAGCAGGCGGCGCGCGGAGUAGCUAGGAGGAGCAAGCGAAGCAGGCGGCGGAGGGAGAGCAGACGCGCGCAGGCAGCGCAGAGGAGGCGCGCGGCGUCGCGGCAGAGACGGGUGUGAAUUAGCAGACGCGGUUAAUUUUGUGUACUGUUAGGAUUAAUUAGGG
rnacentral:lncRNA from 1 species